UUUGCAAGGACUAGUGAACACACCGAGGCGUAGCUCAGUCGUUGGUUGGGACAGUGGACUGACUAGAUAUUCGGCGACAAGCGUGUAAACCAAGGGAAAGCUUGCGAUUUUGGCGCUUGCAUCGGUCGUGAUGGCUUCUGGAGCUGAGAGACCCGAGGCCGGAGACAGCGAACAAGACGAAGAGGAAGAUGUGUACGAAGUGGAGAAAAUUAUUGACAUGCGAGUGGAGGAGGGGGAGGUGCUGUACCGCGUGCGCUGGAAGAACUACACCUCGGACGAAGACACCUGGGAGCCCGAGGCCCACCUGGAGGACUGCAGAGAGGUGCUGCUGGCCUACAAGAAGGCCCUGGCCGAGAACAAGCCCAAGAAGGAUGCCAGCGUGACCCCUUGCAGUGAUGAUAGCUCAAGGUCCCUCUCUGAGCCACCCCCCCAAAGCCAGCUGCCGAUGAAAAGCGACAUCUUCAACGCCGACUCGGAGAGCAGCGACACCGAGCGGCCCGUCACCGCGCCCGUGAAAAAGAAGAAGAAGAAGAAGAAGCAGCAGUCGGAGCCCGAAGACGACGAGCUCCUGGUGAAGGAGAAGAAGAAGAAGAAGAAGAAGAAAUGGAAGGAGGACAAGCCCCUGCCAGCGCCGGAGACAGACAAGGAGGAAGAGGAGGAGGAGGAGGAGGAUGACGAGGCGGCCCGCGAGGCUCCUCCUCCUCCUCCGCCACAGCCACCGCAGCUGUCCCGCAAGGACCACAAAGCCGCCGAGAGCAAGCGCAGGCUGCCGGAGUCGGACGACUCGGACGCCCCCGUCGCCCCAAAGAAGCACAAGAAGGAGGGCAAGUUCAAAGAUGGCGGCGGGAAGCAGCAGAAGAAGAAGGAGAGUGCGGAGGAGGGGAGGAAGAUGAAGAGGAAGAAGGCCAAGAAGGGGCUGGAGUCGUCCGACGAGGACGAGGGCACCAACAGCGAGGUGGCCACCGAGACGCAGUCGCUCGGCAACGAGGACACGGCGGAGAGCCACAGCGACACGCCGGCGAGGGCCAAGCCGUCGGAGAAGGAGCGGGAGCGGACGCAGCAGAAGGCAGAGGGCAAGAAGAAGAGCAAAAGCGACCUGAAGCUGCAGGGCCUGAAGGAGCUCAUGCAGGACAAGAAGCCCAAGAAGCCCGAGGGGUCAGGGUCCGGGUCCGGGGCCGCCACGCUCAGGGACAGCAGCCUGAGCAAGCUCAAGAGCCUGACCAGCGGCGGCGGCGGCGGCAAGAGCCACAAGCCGUCCCGGGGCAGCAACGAGGGCGACGCCGCGGAGGCCAAGCCGCGGGGAAAAGGACAGGAGUCGGCCUCGCAGCGAGCGCCCUCUUCGUCUUCCUCUUCCUCGUCGUCCUCUGGCCGCGGCAAAGAGGACGAGGCCAGGGAGGGCGCGGCGGGUGGCGCCGCCUCCAACCUGUUUGAAGAAUUCCUGCUCAACUGCGAGGCCAAGGACCGGGCACCGCGACGACACGGACAACACACGGGCACCGCUGGCACCGCUGGCACAGAGAAGAAUGCGGCCAAAUCGGACAAGAAGACGAGGCCCAUGAAGGAGUCCCCAGCACGACGGCCAGACGCUGACAAGGCGGACAAAUCCAAAGAUGCGUCGCGCUCCGGACAGAGCCCCGCGACCCCGGAGUCGGACGGCGAGGAGAGGAGGGAGGAACCUCCUGCGAGGUCAAAGGUCGAGGAGCGCAAGGAGCGUACGACGGCAGAGGAGGAGGAGAGGCGGCGGAAGGAGCGGCUGGAGGACCGUCGAACGGCGGCAGCGGAGACGCCAACGUCCAGCGACUUCGGGGACGAGGCCAGCAAGUGGAGGGAGCGGCGGAGGAAGAGGCAGGACAGCGAAACGCGCCUCGGCGACGACAAUCAAGACACACACGACCCCUCAGAGAGGCCUGACAAAACGCCUGAUCGGGGCCAGGCCUCACUGAACCUCGGGGUGGAUAUUAAGCUGGACUGGAUGACACUGGAUGACUUUCAGAAACACUUGAACGGGGAGGAUGAGAUUCUCUCCGCAGAGCCACUAACUCCCACUGAGCUGCGGGAGGCGGUGAAGAGUGGAGAUUACCUGGCUGUGAAACUUGCAAUUGCUUCCAACGUGGACUACAAUCUGGACCAGGAGGACUCCAGCGGUAUGUCCCUGAUGAUGCUGGCCGCCGCAGGGGGACACGAUGACAUCCUGCGGCUGCUCAUCAAGAAGGGCGUGAAGGUGAACGGCCGGCAGAAGAACGGCUCCACCGCGCUCAUGCACGCUGCCGAGAAGAACUUCCUCACCACCGUGGCUAUUCUGCUGGAAGCCGGUUGCUAUGUCAACACACAGCAGCUGGGAGGAGAGACGGCGCUGAUGAAGGCGUGCAAGCGAGGCAAUGCGGACGUGGUGCGCCUCCUGCUGGAGUAUGGUGCAGACUGCAACAUCCUGUCCAAGCACAAGAACACGGCCAUGCACUUUGCCAAGAUCAGCAACAACCUGGUGGUGUACGACCUAAUCAAAGACCACAUCCACACGUUAUCGACCGUAGCAGAGGAGACAAUCCGAGCGUACUUUGAGACGCGAUUGGCCUUGCUGGAGCCAGUGUUUCCCUUGGCCUGCCACAGACUGUGUGAGGGGCCAGACUUCUCUCUGGACUUCAACUACAAACCCCCCACACACAACCCUGGAGAAGGAUCAGGUAUCCUUCUCUUUAUCUUCCACGCCAACUUCCUGAGCGAGGUCACAGCCAGGCUGUGUGGCCCCUGUAGCGUCCAUGCCGUCGUCCUCAACGACAAGUUCCAGCUGCCCAUCUUCCUGGACAGUCACUUCAUCUACUCUUUCAGUCCGGUGCUGGGAUCCAACAAACUGUUUAUCAGACUCGCCGAGGCCCCAACCGCAAAGGUCAAGCUCCUCAUCUGUGCAUACAGAGUUCAGCUGCAAUGACCUGAUCAGUGAACAUCCUUCAGAUCAACAGUCCAGAAGACCUGAAUGAAAUGCUCCGUUAGACAAACACACAUAGAUAGAUACACACACACACACACACACACACACACACACACACUCAAAUAUCACACAGAUGCAGACAAAGAUACUUGUGUGCACACACGCGCGCGCACCACUGCAGACACAAGAACUCAUGUGUGCGAACAAAGUCAGCUCACCAAGGACUUCUCAGUUGGUUUCCAUUCAAUUCAGGAGACCUGGAACUUAGUGGUCCAAAAGGGCGUAGCCCAGCCUUCCCUUGAAGAGCAUGUCACGUCUUUCUUUUUUUUUAGAUAGUUUGUUUGUUUUCGGUGAGCAGCAGAGUGUAACGUGUGUGAGAGCACCGUCCCAUGUACAACACACACGUUCAAAGUGUUGCGGACACUCCUCUAUACCCCCCACCCCCCGCCCCCAACAGGCCAAUACACCCCUCACCACAGCCACAGGAAAAGUGUGUGUGUGUGAGAAAAGGAGAGUGAGAGCCUGUUUUAAGUUUUAUACCUGAAGGUCAUUUGUAAAUCUUGUUUGUUUGUAUAUUUUCUUUUCCUUAAUAGAAUAAUUUAUCUGCAGAUUUAAUUUAGUAUCCAGCUUUUUUGAUCUCUUCCCAUUUUAUUCUGCGACCUGCCGUGUGUGUGUGUGUGUGUGUGUGUGUGUGUGUGUGUGUGUGAGAAUGAGAAUGUCUAGCUGAUAUGUGUCCUUGUGUGUUAAAAGUGUGCCUCUGCGCAUUUGUGUGUUUUCCGUACACACACACACACCAGUGGAGGCGACUAUCACAGUUGAAGAAAGCUCUUGACCUGACUGAGUCGGGGAGGGAGCACAGGGCUCUGGACUUGAUGUGGUUUGGUUUAGGUGUAAACAAAUCAUCAGAGCUUCUGUCAUGUUUUUAUGUGUGUUUGUAUGUCCACUUUUUUUUUUUUUUUUUUCAGUUUUCUUUCCUUUAAAGCCUUCCUUCCCAGGUACAUGCAUCAGGGCUGUAGGUGUAUUACUUAUGACUGCUAAUGUACUGAGAGCUCCACUAGUCAGCAGGUAGACACUGUAGUGUGUGUGUGUGUGUGUGUGUGUGUGUGUGUGAGCAGACAGACUCUGUCACCUUAAGGGCUACGACGUGCCUGCCUUGGGAAGCAGCAUAGCGCGUUUCUUUUGUUUUGGGGGGGGGGGUAAUCGAGUGAGGAGCAAUCAUCUGUUGUCACUUGUCACUGUUGCAGCUUUGUGGGAGAACAAUAAACUGUUCGUGUUCUCCUUUCUGCUACUGGGGAACGUCCAGGAAGUGAUGCGCAGACAUCUACAGCAGGGCCUGUCUGAUAUUCUGUACAUGUUGGGAACCAGACGUGGAGAGAUUUGUUUUGUUUUGUCCCCUAGUGUUUUUCUCCAUUAUGUCUGCCAAUAAACCUGGUGGCGUGUCAACACUGAACAUGGCUUUUUAAAAAAAAAAAAUAUAUAUAUAUAUAUAUAGCUGCUAAAAGUUCAUUUUUACCGUUCUGAGGCCAAUUGCUGCCUUUUCCCCCCUACCCUCAUGUAAAUGGUGUCAAUGACUGCAUCGUUAAGUUAUUUGCAUGUCCUAGUCAAACAAAACAAAUCAAACAGUUCCAAAAUGGAUUUUGGUAAUGGUACAGAAACUAUCAUAACAUGACUUUUUAAAAAGAGGAUUGCAUUGCUUGUUUUGUGGAAAAUGGCACUUUUUUCCAAUAAGUCUUUUGUUUUAGUCUUUUCCCACCAUGGUUUGUCCCCAAAUAUGUGGCCUCAACUUAAGGUUGUGUGUGAGUCUCUAUGGAAAGCUUGAGGAAGAGAGUGGCUGAUUGUCUGUGUGUGUGUGUGUUUUUGUUUCCUCCUCCUCUGCCUCCUGUGCAGUCUGACACACCCUAAAUCAGGGGCUCACGUUGUCUCUGGAAAACAAUAUAUAUUAAAAAAGAAAAAUAAACUGUACAUAUGUUUCCAUAACUAUAAA